AGCGUGGAGACAGGUGGUGCAUGGCUGUCGUCAGCUCGUGUCGUGAGAUGUUGGGUUAAGUCCCGCAACGAGCGCAACCCUCACCCCUUGUUGCCAUCAGGUCACGCUGGGCACUCUAGGGGAACUGCCCCGGUCAACGGGGAGGAAGGUGGGGACGACGUCAAGUCAUCAUGCCCCUUACGUCCUGGGCUACACACGUGCUACAAUGGCCGGUACAAAGGGAUGCAAGACUGCGAGGUGGAGCUAAACCCAAAAAGCCGGUCUAAGUUCAGAUUGGAGUCUGCAACUCGACUCCAUGAAGGAGGAAUCGCUAGUAAUCGCGCAUCAGCACGGCGCGGUGAAUACGUUCCCGGGCCUUGUACACACCGCCCGUCACACCACGAAAGCCAGCUGUACUCGAAGUCGCUGAG
rnacentral:rRNA from 1 species